rnacentral:rRNA from 1 species
AUGGUAGCACAUGAUUUUAUUGUUAAGAAUAAGAAGAAGAUGCUUAACUAUAGACUGAUAUUUGAUAAAAGUUACUUUGAGACUAUUACCUUGCCUGCUCCCUCUUUGUUCAACAUAUUUUCAAGCACGUACCUUGUUUUGCCGGAGGCCGUUCAUGCAUACCGGAGCCUGACAUCAGCUCCAGAGCCUGAGCCGGAGCCACCACUUGAUCCUCACUGUCAGUCUGUUUAUCAGUGGGAUCCGGAGGAGAUCGCUAACCAGUGGCACCCUGAGGAUCCUCCUCAGUACACCGGAGAGGGCAGCUUUGAUCCGUGGGCAUAG